ACUCAAAGGAAUAGACGGGGGCCCGCACAAGCGGUGGAGUAUGUGGUUUAAUUCGACGCAACGCGAAGAACCUUACCCAGCCUUGACAUGCUCGGAAUCCGGUGGAAACACUGGAGUGCCUUCGCAAGAAGGAGCCGGGACACAGGUGCUGCAUGGCUGUCGUCAGCUCGUGUCGUGAGAUGUUCGGUUAAGUCCGGCAACGAGCGCAACCCUUGCUUCCAGUUGCCAUCAUUCAGUUGGGAACUCUGGAGGGACUGCCGGCGCCAAGCCGGAGGAAGGUGGGGACGACGUCAAGUCAUCAUGGCCUUUAUGGCUGGGGCUACACACGUACUACAAUGGCGACUACAAAGGGCUGCGAGACCGCGAGGUGGAGCAAAUCUCAAAAAAGUCGCCUCAGUUCGGAUUGGAGUCUGCAACUCGACUCCAUGAAGUUGGAAUCGCUAGUAAUCGCGGAUCAGAACGCCGCGGUGAAUACGUUCCCGGGCCUUGUACACACCGCCCGU
rnacentral:rRNA from 1 species